rnacentral:rRNA from 1 species
UGGGGAAUAUUGGACAAUGGGCGAAAGCCUGAUCCAGCCAUGCCGCGUGUGUGAAGAAGGUCUUCGGAUUGUAAAGCACUUUAAGUUGGGAGGAAGGGUUGUAGAUUAAUACUCUGCAAUCUUGACGUUACCGACAGAAUAAGCACCGGCUAACUCUGUG